UAUUAAAUUUUAAAAUAAUAAUUUAUUUUGUUAUUUAAUUUUAUUAGAUUGAAAAAAUAUAUGAAAAUUGUUAUAUGAUAAUUGAUUCUUAAAGGAUUUUAAUUAAUCUCAGUAUUUAAUAUUAAAUAUUAAUGAAAUUUAGAUUUAAUUAUUAAUUUAAGUAUAAACUAAAUAUGUGCCAGCAGUUGCGGUUAAACAUAAUAUAUAAAUAAAAUAAUUUAGUUAUUAGUAUGAAAUAGUUUAAAUAAUUUAAUUUUUAAUUUAAGGUAAAAUUUAAUUUAAAAUUAAAAUUGUAAUUAUUUUAUUCUAUUAAACUUUAUUUAAAACUAGGAUUAGAUACCCUAUUAUAAAAGUUUAAAAUUUAUUACUAAAAAAUUAAUAGUUAAGUUCUUUAAAUUUAAAAAAUUUGGCGGUAUUUUAGUCUUAUUAGAGGAACCUGUUUUUUAAUUGAUAAUCCACGAUUUAUUUUACUUAUAUUAAAAAUUUAUAUAUCGCUGUCAUGAAUAUAUUUUAAAAUUUAUUUUCUUUAAUUAAUUUAAUAAUUUAUGUUAAGUCAAGAUGUGGUUUAUAUAUAAGAAAAUAAUGGGUUACAAUAAAUUUGAUUUUUGGAUUUUAUAUGAAAAUUUAAAAUGAAAGUGGAUUUAAUAGUAAAUUUAAUUAUUUUAUUAAUAUGAAUAUAGAUCUAAAAUAUGUACAUAUUGCCCGUCAUUCUUAUGAAAAGUAAGACAAGUCGUAACAAAGUAAAUGUACUGGAAAGUGUAUUUAGAAAGA
rnacentral:ncRNA from 1 species